CCCAGCCCCGCUUCUGUCGCAGACUUGGGAUCCGAGCCAACUUUGCAAGGGGCCCUCUUCUCUUUCGGCAAAGUGUCCAACUUCCACUCCUACAAGCCAGCACCGAAAGCUUCAUCUGUUCAUUCCAGACAGACUUUGAUUUAGGAAAGUAAUGGCAGCUGGGCAGAGGAGUUCAUUUCCUGCUGGAUGUUUAAAGGCAACACUGCCUGACUUUCUACCAGAAUGUGAAAAUCUAUGAGGGGAAUGCAGAAGGGAGAGGUAAAAGAACAAUUCCUCGGAAAUGUCUUUGAUUUUAGAGUGGCUGACUUGGUCCUCAAAACACAGAUCUGGCUCCCAUGUUUUUGUCAAAGAGCCGGAAGAGCUGGUGCCAUCAGCAGUUUCAGACUCUGUUGUUGGAGUCAGAAUCUGCUGUUUUACAUAUCAGUAAGCAGGGAGGAGGCAGGGCUCCGGCACUGGUGAAGCUGGGACGUGGUCAGUCUGCAGUCAGCCGCUCUCACUUCCUGUGGGUGCCCAAGGUCUGGCGUGCUCAGGUCCACCCAGCUCUGUCCUCUCCACUGUGGGGGCUGCAGGUGGACAGGAACACAGGGAGUCCCGUUGGAGACGUGCAGAGCUCUGAUUGGGAGUGGGCAGCCUGUGCCGGGCCGGGGAGGGCCAGAGUGGAUGGGCUGUGUGACCAGCACAACCGACUUCCUGAGAAGCUGGGUGACUCGGCAGGUCACCCUCACACUCCAAAAGGUGAAAUGUGGAUGAAGGGCUGAGGAGAUGCUGAGGAACAAAAGCCACUGUCUUUGAUCACUGCUUUUAAGUGACUUCCCUAGGAUAGGAUACUACUAAGCACCGUCUAGAAGAAGGUAGAACCUGAGACUAUUUCAGGUGCUGCGGCUAAGCUAAAUUCCACAACAAUUAGCUGACUGUCAGUGUAAUUAAUAUCCAACCUGCCAGUGUUUGGGGCCGGGGUGUCCCCUGAGGCCUGUGCGUUAAAGGUGUGGUCCCCAGCCCGUGGUGGUGCUGCUGCGUGGCGGCAGAACUGUUGUGUGUAGGGGGGCUGGCAGGAGGGAGUUAAGUCUUGGGGGCACUCCCCUGGGGUGGAAUUGGGACCCCAAACCCUUCCAGGCUCUGCUUCCCGUGCCUCCACCAGGCAGCCCCACCACAACCUACCGUGCGGCCCCAGCCCAGAACAGCAGAGCUAAGCAACCGUGGACUGAAAGCUGACGUGUGAGCCAGGUAAGCCUCUCCUCCCCUGUGUGGUCUCAGCAAGGAGGAACAGAAAAGCUCACUACUACCCAAUCUUGGU